GAGAAAGAUGGAGGAACAGGAUUUGGCGGGAUCCUUGGCAGGAAAGAGAGGGCCAGCGAGGGCAGGUGUUCAAACUGAGACAACGGGGGAACGUCUGAAGGGCUUAACUACAUCUCAGAUUAAGCAAGAACCAGAUGAGGGGCCGGAGCAAUUCUGUGAGGUCCAGAGAAGAGAAGUUCUGAAGGCUCCAUAUUUAGAUGGGAGAAACUCUCCAUUUUCUCCAUCCCCACCAGAGGAGAAUAUUAGACCUCCAUUUAGCAGAAAGGCUGAUCCCCAUCCAUGGUGCUUCAGAGAAAAAGCUGCAGGUCAAACCCUACCAGACCUGGGCUGCAAGGAAGUCCCUGAAUUCUUUGAAGGCCUGGAUUCCCCACCGGAAGUGAAGGAAGAGUGGGUGGAGGAAGGCAAACUCAACUCGGAGCUGCGAUGUCAACGCUUCCGGCAGUUUUGCUACGAGGAAGCUGAGGGGCCCCAGAAAGUGUUUUGUCAACUCUGGGAACUCUGCUGCCAAUGGCUGAAACCAGAGCGUCACUCCAAGGAGCAGAUCCUGGAGCUGGUGAUCCUGGAGCAGUUCCUGAUGAUCCUGCCGCCAGAAAUGCAGGGCUGGGUCCGGGAACAGGGUCCGGAGACAGGAAGCCAGGCAGUGGCUUUGGCCGAGGACUUUCUUUGGAGGCCGCAAGGUGGUGAGCAGAAGAUACAGGAGGAUCUGGCUGACUUGCCUGAUGAUUCUCCCAGUUCUGAACUGGAUCCAGCGGACAUUGUGAAGGUUGAGGUCCCCAUGGAUGGUGACAGAGGCCCCGACCAUCAACAGUACUUCCUCGGAGAAGCAGCGGACCUGCCCCAGCGGGUGUACAGCAGCAGGAAGAAGAAGGCGAGUUUUGAUUCCCCUCCAAAGAGCCAGAAAGUCCCGCUGAAGGAAAAACUGCACAAGUGCCAAUAUUGUGGGAAGCUCUCUGACUGCCGCGCCCACCUGAUUAUCCAUGAGCGAACCCACACGGGAGAGAAACCCCACAAAUGCUCAGCUUGUGGGAAAAGCUUCACCCGGAAGGAAUCUCUGAUUAUCCACGAAAGGUUCCAUACGGGGGAGAAGCCAUAUAAAUGCUCUGUGUGUGGCAAAACCUUCAGUGAUAAAAUUGGGCGGCUCAUCCACGAGAGAACUCACACUGGGGAGAAGCCGUACAAAUGCUCCGAGUGUGGGAAGAGCUUUGGGACUCGCUGCAACCUCCUGAGGCACCGGAGGGUCCACACGGGUGAGAAACCGUAUUGUUGUUCUGACUGUGGACAGAGUUUCCGGUACAGACCGCAGUUAGUGAUUCACGAGGGGACGCACAAGGGGGAAAAGCCUUAUAAAUGUGCAGACUGCGGAGAAACUUUCAGUCAGACACGGCAUCUGGUGAUACAUAAGUGGACUCACACCGGGGAAAGACCCCAUGAAUGCGCUGUCUGCGGCAAAAGUUUCAAUCAAAAGUCGGACCUCAUUACUCACACCAGGACCCACACUGGGGAAAAGCCGUACAUCUGUGCCAAUUGCGGGAAGAGCUUCAUCUCUAGUUGUCAGCUCAGGAAGCACGAGCGAAUCCACACCGGAGAGAAACCGUACCAGUGCACAGAGUGCGGGAAGUGCUUCACCUACAGUUCUCACCUCACCACGCACAAGCGCACACACACAGGUGAGAAACCUUACCAGUGUCCGGACUGUGGGAAGUGUUUCAUUUCUAGUUCUCACUUCACUGCCCAUAAAAGGACGCAUACUGGUGAGAAGCCGUACCAGUGUACCUACUGUGGGAACAGUUUCAUUCAGCGAUCGCAGCUUGCCAAACAUGAGAGGUCCCACACAGGAGAGAAGCCCUACAUCUGCUCCGAGUGUGGGCAAAGCUUCCGGUGGAGCCAAGGGCUCAAGAAGCACAUACGUAUUCACACGGGCGAAAAGCCGUACAAGUGCCCCGAGUGUGAGAAAAUGUUCUCCAGCUCCUCUAACCUGUCUAGGCAUCAGAAAAUCCAUGCAAGGGAGAAAUCAUAAUGGGUGUUUUAGACAAAAGACAGUAUGAUUACCCCUGGAAUAGCUAGAUAGUGUGGUGUAGAUCAAGGAAGAACACAGAAAGAAGGGAACAGAGUUGUGUCUGCCCAGCUGCGAAACCAGAAUCCUGUAAAGAUCUGGUUUGCUGGAAAUGACCUUGUUUCUCCUCACUUGGGUUCAUCUGCUAGUGGGAGAAGCUAAACCAGAAGUAUCUCUCCCCUCCACCACCCCAAAGUCUGCAAUGAAUUGAGAUUGCUAGACCUCAUGAAGCUCUCAUGCUGAGAUAUCACAAGAAUCUGCAGGAGUGCUGGAAUCUGGUGAGAUCUUGUGCAAAGUGAAGGCAUUUUAAGGUGGUUAAAAUGAUUUUGUUGGGGAGAUAGCAAGUGCCACUUGGGAAGAGAGCUGGACAUCUGCAGGCAGAUGUUGCUGAACUUUAUGCUACAUAACAGGUGCUAAUUCAUUCUGUGCUUCAUUAACCAUGAUGUUUAAACUGUGAUCUCUGGCUCAUUGUUUUCUUAAGUCAAGGUUGGAAAACGGAGCUCCCAACUCUGGUUUGGAGGAAACAGUGCAGAGUUGCCAGUUUAUACACCACCCUAAACAAACCAGAGAAAGAACUUCCAUGGUGUGGUUUGUGAAUAACUCUUAACUAUAAAGUUUUUCUUUAAAAAUUGGCUCAGUACAGACUGAGGUCCUAUAGUUUGUUCAACAAAUUGUGAUUAGAAAUAAACUCUAGUGUAACUUUAUGUACAAAUGCAGGUUGUUUAGCCACUUUUGGCGGCAAGAGGAGUCAAAUGGGAGGGGAAGAGAGAGUUCAUUCUUGGAAAACCGGAAUUCUUCAGAAGGACAUAGUGUGCAAAUGUGGCCUGUAAGCUUGCUCACUGAUUGAAAAGUUCAUCUGUAAAUAAUUGCAGGGAACCUGACUGGGCCCCAACCCGAUUGUGACAAUUCCCAAUUUACUAGUCUCCAAGAACCCAGUACAAUUAAGAAAACUGGGUUUGUAGUUAUAGGAAUUACACAUUGAGGAAUUGCAUCACCAGUGGGCAGUCAUUGAUGGGACCACAAGAAUGAGAGGAAGGGCACUCUGUAGUUUUUAAAUAUUAAUCAGAAAUAUUUCUGUUAGGAGGUUGUAUUUCUGCUUCCCAGAAGAACACUAGAGUAAGGGAACUUUGAAUCUAGCUCCUUCCAUCAGCCGCAAGAGGAAUACCUACAAGGCAAAGUAGCAAAGAGUGAUAUAACCCUUCAAAAUAAGGGUUUUGAAAUAUUUAUUUUGUACAUCCAGAGCUUUUUUUUAUAGUGUAAUUAGUUUAUUUUCAGACAAGAAUAACAAAAGGAAGUUACGUUGUUCAAAAAGAAUCAUCUUCCCUCCAUGGAAAGGAGUCCAAAUUACCUUGAGCCCAAAGAACUGAGAGAUGUCAAAACAGAAGCUUUCAUAAUGCCCCAGCCCUGCCUCUUCAUUGGAGAUUUGGUCAGUACUGCCCGCCUCCUCCGGUUUACCGCGUGAAGAUUCGAAAACC